rnacentral:rRNA from 1 species
UACAGAGGUCUCAAGCGUUGUUCGGAUUCAUUGGGCGUAAAGGGUGCGUAGGCGGCGCGACAAGUUGGGUGUGAAAUCCCUCGGCUCAACCGAGGAACUGCGCCCAAAACUGUCGUGCUCGAGGGAGACAGAGGUGAGCGGAACUUAGGGUGGAGCGGUGAAAUGCGUUGAUAUCCUAAGGAACACCGGUGGCGAAAGCGGCUCACUGGGUCUCUUCUGACGCUGAGGCACGGAAAGCUAGGGUAGCGAACGGG